rnacentral:RNase_P_RNA from 1 species
AGGAGCGCGAGUCUGGAUCGCCGCUGGGGACUUCGGUCGCCCGGCGGAGGAAAGUCCGAGCUCCGCAGGGCAGGAUGCCGGGUAACGCCCGGGCGGCGAGAGCCGACGGAAAGUGCCACAGAGAGCAGACCGCCGAUGGUCCCUCACGGGACACAGGUAAGGGUGAAAGGGUGCGGUAAGAGCGCACCGGGUCCCUGGCAACAGUGGAUCGCAUGGCAAACCCCAUCCGGAGCAAGGCCAAGCAGGGACGAGGGGCGGCCCGCCCCACUCGAGUCCCGGGUCGGCCGCACGAGCGCCGUGGCGACACGGAGCCAAGAGAAAUGGUCCAGCCCCGGAAACGGGGACAGAACUCGGCUUAUUCCGCGCACCGUGCC